GUGCCUGUAGCUUAGUGGUAAAGCGCCGCUCUGUGGCAGCGGUGAUGAGGGUUCGAUUCCCUUCAGGCACCCCA
rnacentral:tRNA from 3 species